UGGACAAAUUAUUGUAUUUGACUGUAUUCACGGCGUGAAACAGGAGAUUACACUGUUUUUAUAUGGCAAGUGAAUCAAUUAACAUAAUCGACUCCU
rnacentral:pre_miRNA from 1 species